ensembl:lncRNA
CUCCAGCCCCUACCUCAACCUCAGCGCAAAUGUCUCUCCUCCAUGACCUCCCCUUCUUCAGCCCUGGGCACCUUCUCCUACCAGCACUGCCCCACUGUGCCGGCUGAGAGCGGAGUUGCAGGUGUGUCUCUACUCCGCCCCGGCCGCUCGGGAGGGGAGCGGUGGGCGCGGGGGAGCGGCUGGAGCAGGGUCAGCCCUUGAGAGCCCCGGCGCGGUGCGCGCCGACCCAGCGAGUUCCGUGGCUCUGCUGAGGGAACAAACUUGUGGCGGAUCAGACAGCGGAGAGCAGUCACCGCAGGGCGGCCAGCCGGACCGGGGACGGCGCGAACCGGACAGCCAGUGGCCCAAGGCAGGGGCCAGCCUGUCCCUCCCUCCCCGCCCUCGCUCUCCCUCUCCCGCCCUCAGCCCGGCCUCUCAACUCCCUACUUCGCGUGUCCACAAACUCUGAACGCCCAGUGUCCGCGCAUCGCCGCCGCCGGAGUUCUCCACCCUGCGUCCCGGGGGCCCUUCCCAGCUUCUCCUCCUCCCACCUUGGGGGAACCUAGCGGAGCCAGGCGGGGACGGCUCCCCGGCGGGUGGAGCAGCCAGGUGAGCCCAGAAAGGUGGGGCGGGGCGGGAGCGCUCCGGGCCCCACCCCGGGAUCCGGUGACGCCGGGGCUGGAAUUUGACACCGGACGGCGGCGGGCAUGAGACUGCUGAGGGAUGGAGUUGGGCCCGGCCCCCAGACACGGCCCACGGGCUCCACCAGCAGCAGGUCCCUCGGGCCCCAGCCCUCCCUGCGUCCCAGACCCAGGGCCCUGCACCCGCGGUAAGCUGACCUGUUUGCCCACCCCUCGUCCCAGCCCUGGGUUUAGGGGGAGCAGUCAGAAUAGUUCCCCUCCACUCUUUUCUUACAUCCUCCCUCUCCUGGGCCCAAUGCGCAGCUCUCCGCCCCUCCCAGCCCCCUCAGUCCUUCUUGUCGCUGGUCCGACUGCGGACGCCCUGCCAGCCCGCUGUAAUGUGAGGCUCUCACUGCUGCUACAGGGCACAGACUGGCUGCCAAGGCCACACUUUUGGCUAAAAGGCGCUGCCAGGUGCAUAGUCCUGGGCAUGAGCCUUUUGAGCUGCGGGGGAAAGCCGGGCACUGGUCCCAGGAAAGGUGCCUAGAAGAACACGGCGCAGGAUUCCUGUGUGAGAGCCUGGCCCCUCAGGGCCCGUUUUCAAUUAGCUGAUCACACUUGGCCCUGAAGGACCCCACCAGGGAGGCCUGGGAGAUCCAGACCACAGGUAUGAGGCAUUCUGUGUGCUUGGGGGUGGGGGUGAAGGUGACGGCUGGGACCCAAGAGUUGGCCAGUUACUGAGGGCUCAUGAGGGCUCUGGGGCCCCGGAGUAUUUGGGAGUGCCGGCCAAUGUGGACUCAUGAAGGCUGGUGGGACUCAGAAAGGCUGGCUGAGCUCAGGAAGCAUGGCUCGUGGGACGAACUUCUAGGAGCAGGGCCAGGCUGCCAGAUCCACAGGAAGCUGGAAUGGGACAGACUUGGCCCAGCUCUCAGAGACCAGGCUGGUAUGGAGGCCUGGCUGGCCCUCCUGGGAGUUGCUCGGCCUGAGUCUGGCUGAGUGUCUGGAAAAGCCCACCCUCCUUUGAGUCUGCAGGUUUGGCGGAUGCUGCCCCCUGGUGGCCCUAGAGAGCCACGGCCCAGGCCCCCAUGCUCUUGACCUCUCAGCCCCCACCAUUUGUGGUCAGAAGAGAGAACUGAGGGGGCUCUGGGUCCAGAUAGGAAUCACAGAGGAGCAAGGUGCAGCAGGCUGGGUGGGCUGCACAGGCUGAGGGCCUGGGCCUCACGAUCGUCAGACAACACUCAGGUCACCCAGCAAGCAUCCUAAUUCUUCUCCAGGCCACAACUUCCUCCUCUGCAGCCUGGAGAGAAGACUGUAGGACGAGGGCGUCCAACUACUCUCUUCUCCAGCCAAUCCUGGCAGCUCCAGCCCUGCAGCACAGAGCAGGAAGGUCCUGGGGAAAGAGACUCCCCCCACCCGCUGUGUGGGCCUAGCCUUGGGACCUUAGCAGUCGCUGAGCUUCUCUGAGCCUAGUUUGCUCAUCUGGAAAAUGGAGAUUACACCGUUUACCUCGUGGAGUUGUGAGGACUGAAAGAGGGCACAGAUGCAAAGUGCCAAGACAUAGUUUCUCCAUGCAGCUCUCUCUCGUCCUCCUGGGUCGAGUCUAGCUCCCCAAGCCCCUUGUUCCUCACCUGGGGAAACGGAAGUGGAGGGAUGAGCUGCUCAAAGGAUAACCCAUCUUUCAAUGUUCGAAGCUGCCUCAAGAGGAGGGUGGGGAAACAGGUCAACUGCGGCUGAUGGGAGCUCUUGGUAGUGACAGAGAUGGAACCUGGAUGUGGAGGCCCUUCUGAGCCGCCCCACGGGCCUCGGCCUAGGCGGCUGCCGGCCUUGUGGCCAACCCUGGCCGCUCUGGCCCUGCUGAGCAGCGUCGCCGAGGCCUCCCUGGGCCCCGCGCCCCGCAGCCCCGCCACCCGCGAAGGCCCCGCGCCCGUCCCGGCGCCCCCCGCCGGCCACCUGCCCGGUAGGUGAGAGGGCGAGGGGCGGGGGCGGGCGGGGGCUGGCCCGGGACCCCGCCCGUGACUCCGUCUCAUUCCAGGGGGCCGCGCGGCCCGCGUAUGCGGCGGAAGAGCCCGGCGGCCGUCGCCGCAGCCUGCCCGGCCCGCGCCCCCGCC